GCUCAGAUUGAACGCUGGCGGCAGGCCUAACACAUGCAAGUCGAGCGGAAACGAGUUAUCUGAACCUUCGGGGGACGAUAACGGCGUCGAGCGGCGGACGGGUGAGUAAUGCCUAGGAAAUUGCCCUGAUGUGGGGGAUAACCAUUGGAAACGAUGGCUAAUACCGCAUGAUGCCUACGGGCCAAAGAGGGGGACCUUCGGGCCUCUCGCGUCAGGAUAUGCCUAGGUGGGAUUAGCUAGUUGGUGAGGUAAGGGCUCACCAAGGCGACGAUCCCUAGCUGGUCUGAGAGGAUGAUCAGCCACACUGGAACUGAGACACGGUCCAGACUCCUACGGGAGGCAGCAGUGGGGAAUAUUGCACAAUGGGCGCAAGCCUGAUGCAGCCAUGCCGCGUGUGUGAAGAAGGCCUUCGGGUUGUAAAGCACUUUCAGUCGUGAGGAAGGUAGUGUAGUUAAUAGCUGCAUUAUUUGACGUUAGCGACAGAAGAAGCACCGGCUAACUCCGUGCCAGCAGCCGCGGUAAUACGGAGGGUGCGAGCGUUAAUCGGAAUUACUGGGCGUAAAGCGCAUGCAGGUGGUUUGUUAAGUCAGAUGUGAAAGCCCGGGGCUCAACCUCGGAAUUGCAUUUGAAACUGGCAGACUAGAGUACUGUAGAGGGGGGUAGAAUUUCAGGUGUAGCGGUGAAAUGCGUAGAGAUCUGAAGGAAUACCGGUGGCGAAGGCGGCCCCCUGGACAGAUACUGACACUCAGAUGCGAAAGCGUGGGGAGCAAACAGGAUUAGAUACCCUGGUAGUCCACGCCGUAAACGAUGUCUACUUGGAGGUUGUGGCCUUGAGCCGUGGCUUUCGGAGCUAACGCGUUAAGUAGACCGCCUGGGGAGUACGGUCGCAAGAUUAAAACUCAAAUGAAUUGACGGGGGCCCGCACAAGCGGUGGAGCAUGUGGUUUAAUUCGAUGCAACGCGAAGAACCUUACCUACUCUUGACAUCCAGAGAACUUUCCAGAGAUGGAUUGGUGCCUUCGGGAACUCUGAGACAGGUGCUGCAUGGCUGUCGUCAGCUCGUGUUGUGAAAUGUUGGGUUAAGUCCCGCAACGAGCGCAACCCUUAUCCUUGUUUGCCAGCGAGUAAUGUCGGGAACUCCAGGGAGACUGCCGGUGAUAAACCGGAGGAAGGUGGGGACGACGUCAAGUCAUCAUGGCCCUUACGAGUAGGGCUACACACGUGCUACAAUGGCGCAUACAGAGGGCAGCCAACUUGCGAAAGUGAGCGAAUCCCAAAAAGUGCGUCGUA
rnacentral:rRNA from 1 species